CACGCCCUAAACGAUGCGAACUGGAUGUUGGGCACAACUUGGUGCCCAGUAUCGAAGCUAACGCGUUAAGUUCGCCGCCUGGGGAGUACGGUCGCAAGACUGAAACUCAAAGGAAUUGACGGGGGCCCGCACAAGCGGUGGAGUAUGUGGUUUAAUUCGAUGCAACGCGAAGAACCUUACCUGGUCUUGACAUCCACGGAACUUUCCAGAGAUGGAUUGGUGCCUUCGGGAACCGUGAGACAGGUGC
rnacentral:rRNA from 1 species